rnacentral:rRNA from 1 species
AGCAGCUAUACUGCAUCACCCUGCAGCUCUCAACUGGCAACCCACUGAAGCUAAGCAGGGUUGAGCCUGGUUAGUACCUGGAUAAGAGACCUCCUGGGAAAACCUGUUGUUGCUGCUG